CCCCCCCCCCGGGUCAGCUCAGCCUCCACGUGAGGUGCCAUCGCUCCCCUCCCGGGGCCAGGCGGCUCCCAGCGCGCCCGACUCUGCACCAGGUCCUGCCGCUCAAGCCUCCCGCCAGGCUGGGCCCCUAGCCAGGAUCCUCUGCUCCUCGGCCCUGCCGGGGUCCUGGAUUCAAGUCCAGCUUCUCCUGCGUUGUGGGUCUGGCACGCCGCUUCAUGGUUUCUCCUGUUGUGGGGAUAAGGACCAGGCAGGGGUUUGCCGAGUGCCUACUACGUGCCAGCCAGGGCUUCUCCAGCUGCUGGGAGUACAGCGAGGAACGAACGAGACAGACGAAACAUCUGCCCACCUGAGGUUUCCAGGGGGAGUUUCUGGAGGAGGGAGACGGCUGACAGAGCAGUGAGUUAAUGGGAAGUAGGUCAGACUGCGAGACAUGCUAUUGAGAACAUGAGAGUGGGAUAAAGGGGGACAGGGAGGCCCAGGACU